rnacentral:rRNA from 1 species
GAUGAACGCUGGCGGCGUGCCUAAUACAUGCAAGUCGAGCGAACAGACGAGGAGCUUGCUCCUCUGACGUUAGCGGCGGACGGGUGAGUAACACGUGGAUAACCUACCUAUAAGACUGGGAUAACUUCGGGAAACCGGAGCUAAUACCGGAUAAUAUAUUGAACCGCAUGGUUCAUUAGUGAAAGACGGUUUUGCUGUCACUUAUAGAUGGAUCCGCGCCGCAUUAGCUAGUUGGUAAGGUAACGGCUUACCAAGGCGACGAUGCGUAGCCGACCUGAGAGGGUGAUCGGCCACACUGGAACUGAGACACGGUCCAGACUCCUACGGGAGGCAGCAGUAGGGAAUCUUCCGCAAUGGGCGAAAGCUUGACGGAGCAACGCCGCGUGAGUGAUGAAGGUCUUCGGAUCGUAAAACUCUGUUAUUAGGGAAGAACAAAUGUGUAAGUAACUAUGCACGUCUUGACGGUACCUAAUCAGAAAGCCACGGCUAACUACGUG